AAAGUCGUAACAAGGUUUCCGUAGGUGAACCUGCGGAAGGAUCAUUAACACGAUUCUUAUACAAACAACCGUGAACAUGUUAUCUACCUCUGGCUUCAUAUGCCGCCAUUGCCGGUGAAGGGUGGAAGUCGCUGUCUUCGGAUAGUGGCUUUGGCCGACCUUGGCUAUCGAGUCUCGAGCUCGAAGGCGAUGAAGUUUUGAGGCAAUUUCGCCCUGGAUAUCUCCAUCUUUUGAUGUCCAGGGUGUUUACUCAAUAUUAACCCCAAUCAACUAAUUGAACUAAUUAAGUGCUUAUAGACCUUCGGGCUUAUAAGACACCAAGUUAUACGUAACUGAGAACAACUCUUAGCAAUGGAUAUCUUGGUUCCC
rnacentral:misc_RNA from 1 species